AUAACCCCGGGAAACUGGGGAUAAUUCCGGAUAACGCACAUAUGCUGGAAUGCUUUAUGCGUCAAAUGGAUUCGUCUGCCCAAGGAUGGGUCUGCGGCCUAUCAGGUAGUAGUGGGUGUAAUGUACCUACUAGCCAACAACGGGUACGGGUUGUGAAAGCAAGAGCCCGGAGAUGGAUUCUGAGACAUGAAUCCAGGCCCUACGGGGCGCAGCAGGCGCGAAAACUUUACAAUGCGGGAAACCGUGAUAAGGGGACACCGAGUGCCAGCAUCAUAUGCUGGCUGUCCAGGUGUGUAAAAUACACCUGUUAGCAAGGGCCGGGCAAGACCGGUGCCAGCCGCCGCGGUAACACCGGCGGCCCGAGUGGUGAUCGUGAUUAUUGGGUCUAAAGGGUCCGUAGCCGGUUUGGUCAGUCCUCCGGGAAAUCUGACGGCUUAACCGUUAGGCUUUCGGGGGAUACUGCCAGGCUUGGAACCGGGAGAGGUAAGAGGUACUACAGGGGUAGGAGUGAAAUCUUGUAAUCCCUGUGAGACCACCUGUGGCGAAGGCGUCUUACCAGAACGGGUUCGACGGUGAGGGACGAAAGCUGGGGGCACGAACCGGAUUAGAUACCCGGGUAGUCCCAGCCGUAAACGAUGCUCGCUAGGUGUCAGGCAUGGCGCGACCGUGUAUGGUGCCGCAGGGAAGCCGUGAAGCGAGCCACCUGGGAAGUACG
rnacentral:rRNA from 1 species